CUGAGUUAAACCGGAUAAAUUUGGAAAAUAUAGCCAUCUGUUGCGAUGUUGUGCUCAUAUUCAUAGGAAUAUCGUAUAACUGUAUUUCUUUUCCUUCUAAGGUAUUUGUUCUUGCAGUUGCCCAGCCAGUCAGGAACAAGGAAGGAUUUAACAGCUAUUAUUUGUGGUCAGCAGUGCUAGCUGCCUUCUCAGGAUCCUUUCUCUUGUUCUUCCCAAUUAGGAGAAACCAGUUAAAUGUUCUCAGGUAAAAUCACUUUACCAGAUGCACUGGCAAUUAGGAACGGUCACGUGACUGUUCUGGCAAAUGAAAAGCCAGUAGAAAGCAUACAGUGCCUCCGAAUGUUUUGUGAAGGAAGAAGCUUGUCUGGCAUUUAUCCUUUGCCGCUUUUCCCUUUCGGGCAGAGCAGCACCUCUUACAGCCAUGAGAACAAAAGUUACAUGCCAAAAAGGGACCAGAAGAAAAGAGAUAGAACCGGGUUCCGUGAGCAGCUACACAGGCCUUGGACUCUCCCCCCAAAUUAUAUCUGGCUGACAUUCGUUCCUGGAGGAUUGUGCUGAUAGAAACGAUCACCAUAGAAGUGGCUCUACCAAUUCUUCCUGCCAUUACAUCUUCUUAUUGUAAGUGCACCCCUCCAGCUGGAUCUCACAAGUUUAGCAUCUGUCUCCCCCAGCUAGACUGUGGGCUCUCUAAGGGCAGGAUGCUGGCCAUUUCAUGCAUUCACCACGGAAUCCCCAGAACUUGGAUCGGCACCUGGCACAUUGUAUGUACUCAAUCAAUUUUUGUUGAAGAAAUAUUAAAUGCUUAUAUACUUUGCCAGAUAUAAUUACCAGCAGUUCCAGACAUUUGCUUCUACAGACCUUGCAAGAGCUGCUGGGAGAAAUCUUGUUACCAUUAUCACUAUUUGAGCGUUGGAUUCAAAGAAGUUAAAUUAUCCCAAACUGCCCAUUGAGUGGGUGAUGGAUGUGGCUGUGAUCCCAGGACUGUCUUAGUCUGCGCUCUUAGCCUAAUAACCCCUUUCAGUGAAAUGAUUAUAUAAAUACAGUCAGCCUUGAAGUAGUAACAGAAACUCCUAUCGAAUUGUAUACAUCAUUGGGACUUUGCCUGGUCCCUGCUCGUGAAAAUAAGACAGAAAACUGCAUCCAGGGCCGGUAGUGGCAGGUUCUGUCACUGCUAUAAUUGAGUUCCUUUCCUCCCUGGAGCCCCAUCUUCCUUCCUUUUCUGGACGAGAGCUCUCAAGGAAAAGUUUGGGUGAAUUAUCUUUAAUUUGAAAAUCAAGGGCAGAAAAGCAAACUCUCUUGGUAAUUGCAGGAGGAUUGAAGGGGGGAGGUGGAUAUUUAAAAAUCACAGGUUUGUUUCUGAUGCCAGGAGAAGGCUGUUGAGGGCAAGGGAUUGGAGCUUGGGAUGAAAUGACCGACAGCCAGAUUCCCUUUCUGAGACCCUGCCAGCGCUCAGUCUGUAGAAGGCAUUUAGGAGAUUGGGGAGUGUGUGCUAGUCCCGGGAAGAUAAUGGCUUGGUUUUGUCUUCUCUGUUCUAGCACCUCCUGUUUAAUUGCUUUCUGAGUGGCAGGCACCAUGCCGUGCACAUAACCUACUAUGUCCCUGCAAACUCUCAGCGAGAGCAGGGAUUUGACUAUCCGUGUGUUCAUCGCUUAGAAACACCAGCACUUGCUCAAAACAUUAGUAACUAAAUACAUAGUGGUCGCUGAAUACCAUCUAUUUUAUCUGUGGAGUUAGACGCCAAAAGAUUCUGGGUUUUUUCAUUACAGAAUAUAUGCCUGCACAUCUGUUUAGCUUGGUGGAUACAGAAGUACGAAACCUAGGCUGGAGUCAAACGUAGCCUUGUAUGCUCAGAUUGGUUCUUCCGCAUGACUUUUGCAGUGUUGAGACGAGACAAACUCUCCGCCGUAAACUUCUCUCUUCACACGGCUCGUGUUCCUGGUACGGCCUCAUUCACCAGCACACCUGAAACUAAUGACGCUGCUUAGCGUACUCACCGAGGUAGCGAUUGUCAGUAAGAGCGAGCCAGGCGGUGGGCGACAGCCUGCUAGAAUCUUAGAUGACAAUCAGAGGAACCCCCUAAGAUUGGGUCCAUUUCCUUGAGGGCAGGAUCACAGGGUUUUCAAAGACCAGGGAUACAUUUCUAGUAAAAUAAAAUAAAGAUAUAAGGGCACAAGGGUUCCCAUAAAAAUAAAAAAAUGAAAAUGAAGAAAAGCAAGGAGGAGGACAUAGUCCUGGGCUGCGGAGACAGCAAGGUUACGGUAAUUAUCAACCGUCCUCAGGGCCCCAUGCAGUUCCCUUACUGGGCAGCAGAGAGCGCUGUUGGCAUGCACAUGUAACCUUGCAUCUCCAGCCAGGCCAAGCUUCGUUUGCAGUCUUCCUAGAACGGGGUUUGAUACGGGGAGGACAGCUUAGGUGAAGGUAAAAAGCACUGGACUCAGAAUGAGGAGACAUAAGAUACAACCGUAGCCCAAGAUCAUCCUUGGCAAGUCUCUGUGAAUCAGUUUGGGGGCUGUCAAAGGAGGGGGUGGGCUGGACUAGUAAAAAAAUAUCCUUUUCCAUGUCCUGAGCACUUACUGCAUGCCAGACCCCAUGCGAGGCCCUUCCAUCAGCAGGGGUACCAAUCCUGACUCUGCUGUACGUGGGGGAUCUCUGUGAUUUGGGUCAAGUUACUCACUCUCUUUAAACUUCAGUUUCCUUGUCUACAGAUGAGCUGGAACAAAUCUUCCUGAAAUUACCCUGCAGAUUAAAUUAAGUGGAUGUAUACAAAGCCUUUAGACACAUCACCCGACCUGUCAACAAACGGCAGCUACCAUCAAUUACCGAUUUCUUUUUUUCUUGUUUUUCUUUAAGUCUAUUUAUUUAUUUAUUUUGAAAGAGAGCACGAGCAAGGGAGGGGGAGAGAGAGAGAGAGAGAGAGAGAGAGAAGGGUUAACACAAGAUCCAGUGGGAGGCUCAAACCCAAGAAGCCAAUCGCAAGAUGAUGCCUGAGCUGAAAUCAAGAGUCUGGUGCCCACACGGGCUGAGCCCCCCAAGCAUCCCCAAUUACCGAUUUCAUUUUAUCUCCACAAUCAUCCUGCAAGGUAGCGAGCCCAUGUUUUCUGUUCUAUAAGUAAGGACUCCUGAGGCUCAGUGAUGUUCAGAAUGUAGCUGUGGUGACCUAGCGUAAAAGUAGCAUC